rnacentral:tRNA from 1 species
GGAAGGAUGGCCGAGCGGUUUAAGGCACCGGUCUUGAAAACCGGCGAUGGGUCAAACCAUCCGUGGGUUCGAAUCCCACUCCUUCCGCCA